rfam:Gossypium raimondii chromosome 12, whole genome shotgun sequence.
AAUCAAUGAUGUAAGCAUUUCUAAAUCAGUGUCUUAAAACGCUCCCAAGCUUCGUAAAAACUUUCUCCCUUUAACUGUUUAAACAUAGAAACCUCUCUUCUUAGCCG